rnacentral:pre_miRNA from 1 species
AGUGGAAUUGCUGGGUCAUAUGGUAAAUUUAUGUUUAACUUUUUAAGAAACUGUCAAACUAUUUUACAAAGUUGUUGUAUCAUUUUUUUCUUACCUACCAGCAAG